CACGUGCACUCUCUGGUGGCUGCUCAGAGCCAUGACUUGUGGCGGAAGUGAAGAUCUGCUUCAGGCGUCCAGCCAAAUGCGGUGAUUUUCCAGGUCCACACAGGCCAGGAGGAGAGGAUUACAGGAAAAAUAGACAAAAGUGCCAGGCAAACCGCCCUGUUCUGCAUUGUUUGGGAGUCAGGUAUCCUAACCUUGUUUCUGAUGCUGAGAGGCUACUGUUAUUGUCCUUCUUCCUUGACUAAGCCUGUGUGUAGGAAAACGUUGCUGUGGGCCAGCCAUGAUAUGAUCUGUGAGAUUUGAGAAGUCUGUAAACACAUCUCUGAAGUGACUCUCCUCCAGUCAUCACUGCUUGCUCCGGUUUGAGCACAGCUUGUCUUCUCCUCAACUCUUGUUGAAGGGGUCCAGGCAAGUUAGCGAGAAGGCAGAGCGGGCGAAGCUCUUGGGUCCUGAGCCCUGUGCAGCCACCGUCCUUCCCAAGAGGUGCCAGCGUUCGCCUCCUGGCUGGAGAAGCUCUGGAUCUGCCAGUUAUUUGUACUAUCAGCACUUAAUCCAUGACUGAGGAGAGGUGUAACAGAUCUCCCCAACCACAGACAACAUCAGGGAUCACCACGACAGCAAGAGUAAAACAUGGAGAGUGAAUAAGGUGACUAGGCAAUCAUCAAGAGGUAUUAAAGAAGUGUGCUCUGUGUCCCCAUCCUCCCUGCUGCAUACUCACCAGCCGGCUGUGAUCUGACACAGAGAUGCUGCUGGGGUGCACCUCAAGGCUCAUGCACUGGCUGAUACUGGCAGCGAACCGAUUUGCUUCCCAGGCCCGUUGGCAUUUGUCCCUUCGGGAGCACCUAUAUGAACACAGAUUCAUAAGAGGUGUGAACCCAGGUAGGUGGGGAAGAUUCUCUGAAGACAAAUGAGGAAUUCAGUGGGCAGAGGAAAUUGAAGCUAUCUUGAUGGGACUCAGUCAUUCUAGAAGACACAGCUGGCCUGGACCAAAAGGAAGAUGAGGUUUUCUAGGGUAACUGAGAGAUGGGUUCAUUAUUGAUCCAUCCAUAGUUGCAGAGAGAAGUUGGUGAAAACAGUGCUCUUGCUGUGAAUAAAUAAUAACCCCAAUCUGUAAUUCUAUUGUGUUCUUUCUGUAUAUGCAAAGUGUAACAGGCACUGAAGCCUGGAGGAUGAGGCAGGGAGGGAGGAUGGGGAAGGAGGCAGAUGGCACAGGUAAAAAGUGACUACUGCAGAGUGAGAGGGCUUAAAGCCUGGGACCUUCUCACAG